UGAUAAGACGGUCGUCAUGAACUACUGACCAACUGACCAGCAAAAAAUAACCAGUAGCGCUCCAAGCGGCAGAUCACAAUGAACCGAUUAUAGAUAUAUAGUUGUUUUAAAUAGUCACUUGGAAAGCUGUUUACUAUGGGGCGAUGUGCAACAUGUAUAUCUAUAUCCGUGGUAACACCGACGUCGAGACUCCUGGUCCAAACUCCAAGUGCGGUAUAAACACUAAAGUACAAACAUGCCGGGCUACAGAUAUAGAUAAUCAGCUAGAUAGUUGUAGAUACCUGAUUAGUGAUUAUAUUAUUAUUAUACGAAAA